rnacentral:rRNA from 1 species
CGUAGGGUGCAAGCGUUAAUCGGAAUUACUGGGCGUAAAGCGUGCGCAGGCGGUGAUGUAAGACAGAUGUGAAAUCCCCGGGCUCAACCUGGGAACUGCAUUUGUGACUGCAUCGCUGGAGUGCGGCAGAGGGGGAUGGAAUUCCGCGUGUAGCAGUGAAAUGCGUAGAUAUGCGGAGGAACACCGAUGGCGAAGGCAACCCCCUGGGCCUGCACUGACGCUCAUGCACGAAAGCGUGGGGAGCAAACAGGAUUAGAUACCCUGGUAGUCCACGCCCUAAACGAUGUCAACUGGUUGUUGGGUCUUCACUGACUCAGUAACGAAGCUAACGCGUGAAGUUGACCGCCUGGGGAGUACGGCCGCAAGGUUG